UGGGUAUCAAUAUUAUUGUUUAUUGUUGAUUAAUAAGAGACAUACCAGUCUGAUGAUUGAUUUUUAAUUUUUACCAAAGCCAUUUAUGCACAAAGUUGUAAAAAUAAGAUUAUAUCAAAAAUCUCAUAUUGAAAAUGAGUUUUUCUCUGCUUAUUAUUACUGCUUUCCAGAGGCAAGCAUUUACAACUCUUUUUAGCUAUUUCUUCUAUUUACCUCCAUAUUUCUAAUACUUUUAAGUAGAGGUUGAUCCUGUGAUCCUGCUAGUUUUUAUUCCUGGCAUACUUCAUUUUAUUGAACUUCACUUUAUUGCACUUCACAUAUUUUGGUGUUUUUUUUGUUUGUUUUUUGUUUUCAAAUUGGAAGUUUGUGGCAAUCCUGCAUCAAACAAGUCUAUUGACAUCAUUUUUUCAAAAAUAUGUGCUCACUUUAUGUCUCUGUGUCACAUUUUACUAAUUCUCACAAUAUUUCAGACUUAUUCAUUGUUAUUGUAUCUGUGAUAGUGACCUGUGGUUAGUGAUCUUUGAUGUUACUAUUGUAAUUGAUUUGACUUGCCACUAUCCAUACCCAUAUAAUACGUGGAACUUAAUCAAUAAAGUUGUGUGUGUUCUGAAUGCUCCACCAACCAGCUAUUGCUACAUCUCUCUCCAUCCCCUUGGGCCUUCCUAUGUCCUGAGACAGAACAACAUAGAAAUUAAGCCAAAUAAUAACCUUACAAUGACCUCUAGGUGUUUGAGUGAAAGAAAGAAGCAAGGACAUAACUCUCUGUCAUUCUAUGAUGACUAAGAGACGUGGGAAAGCUGCAAAAGAAAAAAAGCUGUAGAAUUUGUUUCACGGGGUUUAAAAAAAGAAGCUGGUUUCAUUAUCUAAGUACAAAGUGAAGAAGCAAGUGCUGACGUAGAAGGUGCGGCAAAUGAUCUAGGAAAUCUAGCUAAGAUAAGUAUGAGAGUGGCUACAUUAGUCAAAGUCAAUUUUUCCUAAUACAUUACCGUGGGCCCACUGGAAACUUAACACAUAAUGUAAUAUGUUGUUUGACAAUCACAGCUUGCAAAUAUUGGAAUGUCUUUAUUUCUUCCACAAUACUUAAAUGUAUUCUAAAUUUACUUAAACAAGAUAAUUGUUAAUUAUACAUUGAUAAAGUCUGUGAAAUAUAUAAUUUUAUGUGAGUAACAGAUAUUAUUGUAGCAUAUAUCCAAGCUAGACUUCAGGCCUUAGUAUUAUAGUUCAAACUCUGUGUUUGUUUGUUUAAUAAAAUAGACACUAGGCAUUUCUCUUUACUUAGGAUAUGAAUCUAGCUCCUCCUUUUUAACCUCUACCUGUAUGAUACUCAUUUGUUUUAUUAAGAAUUAGAAUUACCUGAACAAGUAUUUUUUCUUUUAUUACACAGUAACCAUGUCUCUCACUUUAAUUUGUAUGGAUCAUAUAGUCUAACCUUAACCACAAAUAUGUAGCUAUAAUGUAACAAUGAGUACUCUCAUUUUUUCUACCUACAGUUUGUUUUAUUAUAAGUUCAUAGGCUUAUUUAUACUUCCACCAUAAAAGAUGUGGAAAUUCUUAGUGAAAGGACCAGGAACUCCUCAAAAAUAACAUCUUACUGAAUCAAUGCAAUGCUGUUUGGAAACACAGAAGCAGAAGUGGCUU
rnacentral:lncRNA from 10 species